AGGAUCCAGAUCCUACUCGAUUUUCGGUUCGCCAUCUUGCCCUCUCUGAGUCACAGUGCAUGAUAUGCAGAAGAGCUCUCUCUGCGGAGACUGAGGCGAAUGAUGGUUUCGAACCAAUACGCAUAUGCAUGGAGUGCAAAAUCACAGUUCUUGACUGGAACGAGAGAAGCAUGACCCGGAGAGACAGCCACCAGAGAAGGCAGCGGAGAGGAAUUGGU
rnacentral:misc_RNA from 1 species